rnacentral:rRNA from 1 species
UAACACGUAGGGGCCGAACGUUGUCCGGAUUUAUUGGGCGUAAAGGGCUCGUAGGCGGUUUGACAAGUCGGUCGUGAAAACCCGGGGCUCAACCCCGGGACGCCGGUCGAAACUGUCAUGACUAGGGUCCGGUAGAGGUGAGUGGAAUUCUCGGUGUAGCGGUGAAAUGCGCAGAUAUCGAGAGGAACACCAGUAGCGAAGGCGGCUCACUGGGCCGGUACCGACGCUGAGGAGCGAAAGCGUGGGGAGCAAACAGGAUUAGAUACCCUGGUAGUCCACGCCGUAAACGUUGAACACUAGGUGUGGGGGACAUAUCCACGUCCCCUGUGCCGCAGCUAACGCAUUAAGUGUUCCGCCUGGGGAGUACGGCCGCAAGGCUA